AAUGCAAUUUGCCAACUUUGGUGUAAACUGUGUAAACACGUGACAUUGAUAAAAGAAAAAAAAAGUCACGUGGGUUAGGAGGUGAAGUGAAAAAUAGUAAAUGGAACACCAGAAUCUCAUGGAAAACUCAAAAUUUCAGUAUUGAAGUCUUGAACCAGAAUUGAAGAAAAAGAAUAGAACACCAGUUACCCGUGAUGAUAACAAUUAGUACAUCAAUAUAAAAAUUGUGUAGCAAAAGCAUAGCGAAAGAUUUCAUGAAGAAAACUCAUCACCGGUCGUCAAGUAAAAGGAUUAGCUAUAUAUGUAGGCUAUGUAUUAUGGAAGAUGGCACUUCAACAGUAUCAAAACCAGACACCAUUUUUUCAAGGGAAAAGUACUAAUCCGUAGAAGAAACUAUGAAGAGGAGAACAAAAAUCCUAGACGUGCUAAGAAGACAUACCCUAAUGUCCAGUGUCCUGAUGUACACACAAUAGCUACUUAAGAAAAAGGAAACACUUUCGCAGAGAGAACAGGGUACACCACAGGCAGUCUUUUGUGUUAAGAAACCUCCGUUUUGUU